GUAGUACUCCCUCCGUCUCAAAAUUUUUGUCUUCGAUUUGUCUACAUACUGAUGUAUCUAUUCACAUUUUAGUGUUAGAUACAUCCUUAUCUAUAUAAAUUCAAGACAAGAAUUUUGGGACGGAGGGAGUAGCAU
rfam:Triticum aestivum genome assembly, contig: Triticum_aestivum_CS42_TGACv1_scaffold_404693_5BL